GACGAACGCUGGCGGCGUGCCUAAUACAUGCAAGUAGAACGCUGAAGGAGGAGCUUGCUUCUCUGGAUGAGUUGCGAACGGGUGAGUAACGCGUAGGUAACCUGCCUGGUAGCGGGGGAUAACUAUUGGAAACGAUAGCUAAUACCGCAUAAGAGUAGAUGUUGCAUGACAUUUGCUUAAAAGGUGCAAUUGCAUCACUACCAGAUGGACCUGCGUUGUAUUAGCUAGUUGGUGGGGUAACGGCUCACCAAGGCGACGAUACAUAGCCGACCUGAGAGGGUGAUCGGCCACACUGGGACUGAGACACGGCACAGACUCCUACGGGAGGCAGCAGUAGGGAAUCUUCGGCAAUGGACGGAAGUCUGACCGAGCAACGCCGAGUGAGUGAAGAAGGUUUUCGGAUCGGAAAGCUCGGUUGUAAGAGAAGAACGAGUGUGAGAGUGGAAAGUUCACACUGUGACGGUAUCUGACCAGAAAGGGACGGCUAACUACGUG
rnacentral:rRNA from 1 species